rnacentral:rRNA from 1 species
UACGUAGGGUGCAAGCGUUGUCCGGAAUUAUUGGGCGUAAAGAGCUCGUAGGCGGUCUGUCGCGUCGGCUGUGAAAACCCGGAGCUCAACUCCGGGCCUGCAGUCGAUACGGGCAAACUGGAGUGUUGCAGGGGAGACUGGAAUUCCUGGUGUAGCGGUGAAAUGCGCAGAUAUCAGGAGGAACACCGGUGGCGAAGGCGGCAUCCUGGACCAACACUGACACUGAGGAGCGAAAGCCAGGGGAGCAAACGGG